GAAUAUGGCACAAAAACUCUGAUAUUCUCUCAACCCUAAACCCGCUCUGUCUUUCUCUUUAAAAGGGACUGUAUGCUGUCUGUCUGUGGUGCUUGUUGAAAGUGAAAACCCCCCAACAAAAAAAAGUGAGGAGGAGAAGGAAAGUGAAGGUCUGGCCGGGUUAAAGAGCAUAGCUGUGAGAGUUGUUGGUGGGUUCAGUAGGAGAAGGAAAGCCAGGACGAAGAAAAUUAAAGUUGAAGAUAAGUUGAUGGAUUUGUGGCAUAAGAUGAUCUUCCCUGUUAGGAGAGUUUGGCUUUCUGUUUCUGCUCGUGUCAAAGCU
rnacentral:lncRNA from 1 species